rnacentral:rRNA from 1 species
UGGGGAAUUUUGGACAAUGGGGGAAACCCUGAUCCAGCCAUCCCGCGUGUGCGAUGAAGGCCUUCGGGUUGUAAAGCACUUUUGGCAGGAAAGAAACGUCGCGGGUUAAUACCCCGCGAAACUGACGGUACCUGCAGAAUAAGCACCGGCUAACUACGUGCCAGCAGCCGCGGUAAUACGUAGGGUGCAAGCGUUAAUCGGAAUUACUGGGCGUAAAGCGUGCGCAGGCGGUUCGGAAAGAAAGAUGUGAAAUCCCAGAGCUUAACUUUGGAACUGCAUUUUUAACUACCGGGCUAGAGUGUGUCAGAGGGAGGUGGAAUUCCGCGUGUAGCAGUGAAAUGCGUAGAUAUGCGGAGGAACACCGAUGGCGAAGGCAGCCUCCUGGGAUAACACUGACGCUC